GGAGGGGGCUCUCUGCGGGACGACACCAAGGCGGUCGAGUAGGACUUCUGGGCCCGGAGCCUCUCCUCUGCCUCCAGCUGGUCCUGAGACAGCUGGGUCGGCGCCGGUAAAAAGCUGGACAAACACACAAAGCACAGAGUGAUGGAUCUCAUUGAGGAGGAACAGCCGAGGAGUCUGGUGAUGGCAAACAGAGCGACAGGAGUGCAAGUAAGAAACAGGCAGUCAAGCCGAAGCAGUAUCGCAGACACCGAGCUUAAAAGUCUGAUGUCACACCGGUCAAUGCCGAGCCCCCGAGUCUCCUCUGCUGGUAUCUACAAGCAACACGCUCCGUCUAAGAGUCGCUUUAGGCGAUGAUCGCGCUGCUGAGUGCUGGAGUGCCGUUAAUUUGUCUUCUAUGAUUAAAGAGCAGCCUGGCCAACCAUGCAGGGAAUGAAAGAAUGGGAACACAGGAACCAAACGGCUGUAGUCGUCAAGGUGAAGCUUCCUCAGGACUUCCUGCUGCACCGUCAAGCUCCAAAGACGUCGGUGAAAUAGCGAGACGUGGGUCAAAUCCCAACGCACCCCCUGCCCCGGACCACUUAGCCUGAUUCUUGUUGGGCAAAGAAAAGUUAAGGUGAAGUGUUAGCGCUACAUGGCAUUUCAGGAGGAAUCUUUGUCGUUUCACUGUAUUUGGUGCCCUUCUUUGUAACAAACACAAAGCGAUGGCUGCUAGUUGGCUGAUUUUUCCUGUCCUGCAUUUUGUCCAGCUGCUGCACUCAGGUUAGGGCCACUGGCUGCUAAUGCUAGCACUUAAAGCACCAAAAAAUGGAUAUCAGGACUUUCUCUUCCCCGCACUUGUCAUUAUGUUCAGUCUUAUUAGCAGUUUGUGGCAUUAGAACUGAGUUGGAGUUAAUUUGUCUGCUUAUCAAUGCAGAUAAAUCAUUUCAUUUAGCUCGUUUUGCUUCCCACACGGACUCUUCUGCAUGCAGCCUGUUUUGGUUUUUGCGAAAAAAGCGUCCCAUACACGAGGUACCAAGGCAGGCAGGCAGGCAGGCAGGCAGGAGAACAAAAAAGCAAGCUGUAAUGAUCUGAACCUGAUGUCAUAUUACAGCAGACAUCAAAAAGCAGAGCAAAACUAAAUAAACCAGUACAAAGCGCGGAGAGACGAGGAACAAAAGGCAGCUACAGAACUAAAACACAGCGAGCAAAAUGCAGGAGUGGGAAACUGAAGUCGGAACAGGACUGACGUGAGAAAAACAGACACACUGACAAAGAGAGACGCAAAGACACAAAGUUAAAUACACAACGGAGACAGAAGACUAAGAAGGGACAGCUGGAACUAACAGGGAAAUCAAGACGGAGUGACGUGAGGAUGACUCUGACAAAAUGAAACUGAAACCUGAGACUGCGACCCAGCUCAAACCCACCGGUAACAUAACUGGCCGUUACUACUCAGACCGCAAACACACUACAAAUGGAAACCAGGACAGUUAUACAAAGAUUCUGCAUCCAUAAGCAGAUAUCUGUUCAGAGAGAUUAGGGGCGCUGUGACUACGUAAUGUGCUUACGCACAGCGGAGCUUUGAGCUAAAUACUAAUGUCAGCCUGCUAACGGUUAUGUGUGUAGAGUAUGUAGUGACGCUCUAACCUCCGUAACCAGCAGCUAUAAAUCAAGUCUGAAGAGUCGCUGUGUGUCGGAGCUCCUUCGGUCCUGCGGUGACGCUUUCAGUUUGUUCUUGCGGAGCUUUUUUAAAUCCUUCAAUCUGUGAUAUCAUCCACGUGCAAAGAUGUCGCUCAUGCAAACAAUCUGCUGUUGAAACAUGAUUUUUUUUCUGUCACCUUGUCAUUGUAACCACAGUGCUCAUUAGAUCUGACUCCGUAUUUCACAGCCAGCGCGGCGCCACAGAGGGCGUCUGGUGGCAUCCUGUUUACACAUGUGUUGUUUGGUUUCAACGAGGGUCUAAUGAUGAGUGAACUUUUAUUUUUCUCCCUCCCAACCCCCAAAGUAAACUGAAUGAGAAUAAACUGUCAGUGAGCUUUGCCAAAA